CACAGCUACAAUCAGGCUUCUGGAGAUGGGAACACCUUAUCGUAAUUACACACUCCAGUUCAUACUAGGACUGGAUAUAGUUUGUGACUCUCACAUGAACUUAACUCAUGCUUUUGGAAAUCUCUGUGGGUUUAGCCAACACUGAGCAUACAGCCAUAAGGAAAAGCCAGAGAAAUCCAAAAGAGCCUACUGCAUUUAUCCCACACAUUCCUGAGCUACCAAGUCUGUGGACUCUGUAUCUUGGCACUGUUAGGAGUCAGGAUAUGUGCCCAGGAAUGAGCUUUCACAGACCCCCCCUCAUGUCUGAGAAGAUCAGAAGUCUAAAGAGGGAAUUUGAAGCACUAGAUUCAGAAAUCCUUAACUAUGGUCCUCAUCAGUGCAUGGAAGAGGUGGAUCUUAACUGGCAAGACUUCAAAGGCUAUAUAAAUGUCAGGUUACAAAGUAUUUCAGUCAUUAUAUAUGUGUUUGCAUCUGUGUGCUGGUGAGUGUAUUUGCCUGUUAUUAUAGCUGUGAAUAUCACUGAGUAUAGCUCCUUGAAAGGGCUGGGUAUAGUUACUGGAAAACUCUACCUGGUUAUACAAUAUACUUAACCUAUUCAUUAGAAUGGAAAGAAAAUACCAGCUCAAAGCAAAAAUACUAGUGUAGGACUAAGGGUAUGCUGGGGACUAGAGCCAGUUGUUAAAUUUUUAGCAAACAUUUACAUCUCAGAAAUUGGCAUAUGCUACAAAUCAGAUCUUAAUUUGUUGUUUUCCUGAUUGUCUAGACUUAAGAAAGUGAUGGAGAAAAUGUUAAAAAUACUGCUCAAACUUAAAAGUUUGUGAAGAGUACAUUUUUUUUCUCUCAAAGAGCCAGUUGUUAAAUAUUUACCAGCACACUACUGGAGAGGACAAUAACAAUUUUUUUUUUACUGAAUCUGAAUAAGACAAUUUAUACUGAUAUUUGGAAAACACAGCUAACAUAACUAGGUUUUCACAAGUCAAAAUUGCUGCCAAUUUGGGGGUGGGGGUGGGGAUGGGAAGUUUCCUUACCUUUAGGGAGAGAAAGAUGAGCUAACUUGAAUAAAUUAAGAAGUGUGAUACCA
rnacentral:lncRNA from 1 species